GCCCUCGUAGUCCAACGGCAGAGACACUCGGCCGAGAUCCGAGAGGUUGCAGGUUCGAAUCCUGCCGAGGGCACCA
rnacentral:tRNA from 1 species